CUCUUGACUUUUCUUCUACAGCAAUGACAUCAUUGGUUUCUGUAGACUGUUCUGGAAUUGAAGAUGCGUUUGGUUGCUCCUCUUCCCUUCGUUCCGUUGAAUGUUGUUCUGGUUCUUUCUGAUUUUCCUCAACUUCAGUAACCACAGGUUCACCUUUUACUGUUUCUGUAGGCUCAACUUCAGUAGCCACAGGUUCUUCUUUUACCGUUUCUGUAGCUUGAACUUCAGUAGCCACAGGUUCUUCUUUUACCAUUUCUCUAGGAUCAACUUCAGUAACCACAGGUUUGACUUUUACUGAUUCUGUCAGAUCAACUUCAGUAACCAGGGGUUCUUUUACUGUUUUUGUAAUUUCAACUUCUGUAGCCACAGCUUCUUCUUUUACUGUCUCUGUAGGAUCAACUUCAGUAACUAUAGGUUCGUCUUUUACCGUUUCUGUUGCCUCGAAUUCAGUAGCUGCAGGUUCAUCUUUUACCAUUUCUGUAGGCUCAACUACAGUUGUCACAGGUUCUUCUUUUACGGUUUCUGUAGCUUCAACUUCAGUAGCCACAGAUUCUUCUUUUACUGUUUCUGUAGCUUCAACUUCAGUAGCCACUGGUUCUUCUUUUACUGUUUCUGUAGCUUCAACUUCAGUAGCCACUGGUUCUUCUUUUACUGUUUCUGUAGCUUCAACUUCAGUAGCUGCAGGUUCGUCUUUUACCGUUUCUGUAGCCUCAACUUCAGUUGCCACAGGUUCUUCUUUUACCGUUUCUGUAGGCUCAACUUCAGUAGCCACGGGUUCUUCUUUUACUGUUUCUGUAGCUUCAGCUUCAGUAGCUAGAGGUUCUUCUUUUACCGUUUCUGUAGGAUCAACUUCAGUAACCACAGGUUCGUCUUUUACGGUUUCUGUAACCUUAACUUCAGUAGCUGCAGGUUCUUCUUUUACUGUUUCCGUAGCCUCAACUUCAGUAGCCACAAGUUCUUCUUUUAGUGUUUCUGUAGCCUCAACUUCAGUAACCACGGGUUCUUCUUUUACUAUCUCUGCAGUCGCAACUUCGGUAACCAUGGGUUCUUCUUUCACUGUUUCUGUAGGCUCCACUUCGAUGAUUUUGGUCUCUUCCGAUAUCGCUGCUGCUGUCUUCUCCUCAUUGGCCUCGACUGUAGAUUCAACAAUUGCAAUUGCUUUUGGUUG
rnacentral:lncRNA from 1 species